rnacentral:rRNA from 1 species
AUUGAACGCUGGCGGCAGGCCUAACACAUGCAAGUCGAACGAGUGGCGGACGGGUGAGUAAUGUCUGGGAAACUGCCCGAUGGAGGGGGAUAACUACUGGAAACGGUAGCUAAUACCGCAUACCAUCGGAUGUGCCCAGAUGGGAUUAGCUAGUAGGUGGGGUAAAGGCUCACCUAGGCGACGAUCCCUAGCUGGUCUGAGAGGAUGACCAGCAACACGGGAACUGAGACACGGUAAAGAAUCCUACGGGAGGCAGCAGUGGGGAAUAUUGCACAAUGGGCGCAAGCCAGAUGCAGCCAUGCCGCGUGAAUGAAGAAGGCCUUCGGGUUGUAAAGUACUGUCAGCGAGGAGGCGUUACCCGCAGAAUAAGCACCGGCUAACUCCGUGCCAGCAGCCGCGGUAAUUC